UUACAAUUCUGCGAGGGACAAG
rnacentral:siRNA from 1 species